rnacentral:lncRNA from 1 species
AAGAAUGGAAAGACAAGCUGCAGACUGGAAGAAAAUAUUGGCAAAAGACAUGUCUGAUGAAAGAUUGUUAUACAAACUAUAUAAGGAACUCUUAAAACUCAACAAUAAGAAAACAAUGUGACUAAAAAACAGGCCAAAGACCUUAACAGACACCUCAACAAAGAAUACAUACAGAUGGCAAAUAAGCAUAUGGAGAGAUGCCCCACCUCACCUGUCAUCAGGGAAUGCAAAUUAGAACAACAAUGAGAUACCAACACACUCCUAUUAGAACGGCCAAAAUCUGGGACACUGACAUCAGAAGCUGACAAGGAUUUGGAGCAACAGGAACUCUCAUUUAUCGCUGGUGAAAUGCAGAAGGUACAGCCACUUUGGACGACAGUUUGGCAGUUUCUUCAGAAGCAUGCACACGCUUACCGUACAGUCCAACAAUCGCACUCCUUGGUAUUUACUCAAAGGAGUUGAAAACUUAUGUCCACACAAAAACCUGCACAUGGAUGUUUAUAGCAGUUUUAUUUAUAAUUGCCAAAACUUGGAAGCAACCAACAUGUCCCUCAAUAGGUGAAUGGACAAACUGUGGUACAUCCAGACAAUGGAAUUCUAUUCAGAGCUGAAAAAAGAGAGCUAUCAAACCAUGAAAAGAUAUGAGGAGAAUUAAGUACAUGUUACUAAGUGAAAGAUGCCAAUCCAAAAAGGCUACGUACUGUAUGAUUCCAACUAUACGACAUUCUGGAAAAGGCAAAACCAUGGAGACAGUAGAAGGAUCAGUGGUUUCCAGGGGUCAGGUGGGGCAAGGAGGAAUAAAUAGGCGGAGCACAGAGGAGCUUUAGGGCAGUGAAAAUACUCUGAAUGACACUAUAAUGGUGGAUGCAUGUCAUUAUACAUUUGUCCAAACCCACAGAAUGUGCGCCACCAAGAGGGAGCCCUAAUGUGAACUAUGGACUCUGGCAGGAGAGGCAACCCCUCGCAAACAGACCUCAGCUCUGGGGACUCAGCAGGCCCAGGCUUGGGCUCUGAAAGUCGCUGCAGGCUGUCGCAUGAACAGCAUCCCCUGAACACGGGAGGAGAAUGUGCCUGCAGCUCUCGAAGCCCUAAACUUUCCUCCUCCUCGGGGCAGGGGUGAGUGUUCCAGCAUUUUCACCUUGCACGUCUCAGAGCCAGAAGCUCGUUCUGCCCCUGGUGCAGUGGUCCUCAGGGUGGGUUGGAAUGGGGUCUCUGCCCUCUGAGAGGCGGCUGAGGGAGCACACUCAACCACAGAGCCACCAACCUUUGACUCCUUCAGUGACAGCCUCCCAGCCGACCACUCAUGCUGCAAUUGCAUAUUUCAGAAUGCCUUCCUGAAAGUCUUUCCAUCGUUGUCUUAAUACCCC